UAGGGAAUCUUCCACAAUGGACGCAAGUCUGAUGGAGCAACGCCGCGUGAGUGAAGAAGGUUUUCGGACCGUAAAGCUCUGUUGUUGGUGAAGAAGGAUAGAGGUAGUAACUGGCCUUUAUUUGACGGUAAUCAACCAGAAAGUCACGGCUAACUACGUGCCAGCAGCCGCGGUAAUACGUAGGUGACAAGCGUUGUCCGGAUUUAUUGGGCGUAAAGCGAGCGCAGGCGGAAGAAUAAGUCUGAUGUGAAAGCCCUCGGCUUAACCGAGGAAUUGCAUCGGAAACUGUUUUCUUGAGUGCAGAAGAGGAGAGUAGAACUCCAUGUGUAGCGGUGGAAUGCGUAGAUAUAUGGAAGAAUACCAGUGGCGAAGGCGGCUCUCUGGUCUGCAACUGACGCUGAGGCUCGAAAGCAUGGGUAGCGAACAGGAUUAGAUACCCUGGUAGUCCACGCCGUAAACGAUGAGUGCUAGGUGUUGGAUCCUUUCCGGGAUUCAGUGCCGCAGCUAACGCAUUAAGCACUCCGCCUGGGGGAGUACGACCG
rnacentral:rRNA from 1 species